rnacentral:rRNA from 1 species
AUUGAACGCUGGCGGAAUGCUUUACACAUGCAAGUCGAACGGUAGAGGGGGCAACCCCUCGAGAGUGGCGAACGGGUGAGUAAUAUAUCGGAACGUGCCCAGUCGUGGGGGAUAACGUAGCGAAAGUUACGCUAAUACCGCAUACGAUCUAAGGAUGAAAGCGGGGGAUCGCAAGACCUCGCGCGAUUGGAGCGGCCGAUAUCAGAUUAGGUAGUUGGUGGGGUAAAGGCUCACCAAGCCAACGAUCUGUAGCUGGUCUGAGAGGACGACCAGCCACACUGGAACUGAGACACGGUCCAGACUCCUACGGGAGGCAGCAGUGGGGGAUUUUGGACUAUUGACGCAAGUCUGAUCCAGCCAUUCCGCGUGCAGGAUGAAGGCCCUCGGGUUGUAAACUGCUUUUGUACGGAACGAAAAGGUCUCUCUUAAUACGGGGGGCUCAUGACGGUACCGUAAGAAUAAGCACCGGCUAACUACGUGCCAGCCGCCGCGGUAA